UACAGAGGGUGCUAGCGUUGUUCGGAAUCAUUGGGCGUAAAGGGCGUGUAGGCGGUUUGCUAAGUCAUGUGUGAAAUCCCCGGGCUCAACCUGGGAACUGCCUUUGUGACUGCAAGGCUUGAGUGCGGCAGGGGGGGAUGGAAUUCCGCGUGUAGCAGUGAAAUGCGUAGAUAUGCGGAGGAACACCGAUGGCGAAGGCAAUCCCCUGGGCCUGCACUGACGCUCAUGCACGAAAGCGUGGGGAGCAAACAGG
rnacentral:rRNA from 1 species